rnacentral:rRNA from 1 species
UAACACGUGAGCAACCUGCCUUUCAGAGGGGGAUAACAGUUGGAAACGACUGCUAAUACCGCAUAACGCUGCGAUGGGGCAUCCCGAUGCAGCCAAAGGAGCAAUCCGCUGAAAGAUGGGCUCGCGGCCGAUUAGCUAGUUGGUGGGGCAACGGCCCACCAAGGCGACGAUCGGUAGCCGGACUGAGAGGUCGAUCGGCCACAUUGGGACUGAGACACGGCCCAGACUCCUACGGGAGGCAGCAG